rnacentral:rRNA from 1 species
UACGGGGGGGCGAAGCGUUGUUCGGAAUUACUGGGCGUAAAGGGUUCGUAGGUGGCCAACUAAGUCAGACGUGAAAUCCCUCAGCUUAACUGGGGAACUGCGUCUGAGACUGGAUGGCUUGAGUGCAGGAGAGGAACGCGGAAUUCCAGGUGUAGCGGUGAAAGUGCGUAGAUAUCUGGAGGAACACCGGUGGCGAAGGCGGCGUUCUGGACUGCUACUGACACUGAGGAGCGAAAGCCAGGGAGCAAACGGG